UACGGGGGGGGCAAGCGUUGUUCGGAAUUACUGGGCGUAAAGGGCUCGUAGGCGGCCAACUAAGUCGGAUGUGAAAUCCCCAGGCUUAACCUGGGAACUGCAUCCGAUACUGGAUGGCUUGAAUCCGGGAGAGGGAUGCAGAAUUCCAGGUGUAGCGGUGAAAUGCGUAGAUAUCUGGAGGAAUACCGGUGGCGAAGGCGGCAUCCUGGACCGGCAUUGACGCUGAUGAGCGAAAGCGUGGGGAGCAAACAGG
rnacentral:rRNA from 1 species